UUCUCUUUGUUUCACUAUUCCCACCGCUCAUUCAAUCACUUGCCUUUCCUUCUCCUUCGCUAUUUCAUUGAUUCCUCGUUGAUUCCUCUUCCCCCUAUUAUCUUCUUCGUCAAAAAGCCCCCACCCCCUAAAGAGAAAGUAGUUUCGUUUAGUAUGAGAUCGCUUCACACCUCGAAGUGCUCACAUCUCCGCCUAACGAAGUUCUCUUAAAAACCAUCGUACGAGAACUUGUAUAGAGAAGGAUUUCCAACGUUUAAGACAACGAGUGACUAAACUAAUGUAAACUCCUC
rnacentral:lncRNA from 1 species